CACUCUGAAGAAGAACAGAAAUAGGCUCACGGAGCAUGGCUACCCCCAGACCCACUAGCUCCCUCUGCAAUCAUACAUGUCUCCGACCCUCCUGCAGUCAGCCCAGCCAGCAGAGCACAUGGACUUCGUUCAGCAUGAAGCUUCAAUCUUGUCCCUGGAGUUCAUAGUUUAAGAAACUCCCACCGAAGGCAGAUGUGAGCACGGACCAAAUUCUUUCUUUUUUCAGUGCUGGGGAUUGAUGGGAGGGACUCUCCUUCUAAGGCUGCGACGGAUGCUUAAGCCUUAACACCUUUUGUCUUUUGUGAAUACAAUAAAUAUCACAGAGAUGCAAACACACUGUUAUAUUCAAUUUAAAGAGAGGCGUCACUUGUUAAAAAUCAACUAAUCUAAUCUGAGCGAGACCAACCAGAGAAUAGAGGAGUCACCAUGGAAGGCAAGGAAGAAAUAGUAACAUUCAAACUGGAGCCCUCAAGGAUUACAUGCUUCACAGUUUGUAAAAGCUGCUGCUGCUGCUGCUGUUCGUGACUCUGCACUUCUGGAAGGAGAGGCCUGUCCAUGAGCGUGUUGAAGGCAAGAAACAACUGGCGGAUCGAGUUGUUGAAUUCAUCUCCAUCUUCACUCUGACC